CACUCAGGACGAACGCUGGCGGCGUGCCUAAUACAUGCAAGUCGUACGCUUCUUUUUCCACCGGAGCUUGCUCCACCGGAAAAAGAGGAGUGGCGAACGGGUGAGUAACACGUGGGUAACCUGCCCAUCAGAAGGGGAUAACACUUGGAAACAGGUGCUAAUACCGUAUAACAAUCGAAACCGCAUGGUUUUGAUUUGAAAGGCGCUUUCGGGUGUCGCUGAUGGAUGGACCCGCGGUGCAUUAGCUAGUUGGUGAGGUAACGGCUCACCAAGGCCACGAUGCAUAGCCGACCUGAGAGGGUGAUCGGCCACAUUGGGACUGAGACACGGCCCAAACUCCUACGGGAGGCAGCAGUAGGGAAUCUUCGGCAAUGGACGAAAGUCUGACCGAGCAACGCCGCGUGAGUGAAGAAGGUUUUCGGAUCGUAAAACUCUGUUGUUAGAGAAGAACAAGGAUGAGAGUAACUGUUCAUCCCUUGACGGUAUCUAACCAGAAAGCCACGGCUAACUACGUGCCAGCAGCCGCGGUAAUACGUAGGUGGCAAGCGUUGUCCGGAUUUAUUGGGCGUAAAGCGAGCGCAGGCGGUUUCUUAAGUCUGAUGUGAAAGCCCCCGGCUCAACCGGGGAGGGUCAUUGGAAACUGGGAGACUUGAGUGCAGAAGAGGAGAGUGGAAUUCCAUGUGUAGCGGUGAAAUGCGUAGAUAUAUGGAGGAACACCAGUGGCGAAGGCGGCUCUCUGGUCUGUAACUGACGCUGAGGCUCGA
rnacentral:rRNA from 1 species